rnacentral:rRNA from 1 species
GUCGGGAGUUAGGAAAUGCAGAUUGGUUAAUACCCAACCUGUUUGACAAAGGCCCCAAAGGAAGCCACGGCUAACUCUGUGCCAGCAGCCGCGGUAAUACAGAGGUGGCAAGCGUUGUUCGGUAUUAUUGGGCGUAAAGAGCACGUAGGUGGUUUUGUAAGUCAGAUGUGAAAGCCUUCUGUUCAAAGGAAGAACGGCAUCUGAAACUGCAGAUCUUGAGUGUAGGAGGGGAGAGUGGAACUUCUGGU